rnacentral:rRNA from 1 species
AUUGAACGCUGGCGGCAGGCUUAACACAUGCAAGUCGAGCGAGCGGCGGACGGGUGAGUAAUGUAUGGGGACUGCCCGAUAGAGGGGGAUAGCUAUUGGAAACGGUGGCUAAUACCGCAUACUCUCGGAGAUCCCAUAUGGGCUUAGCUAGUAGGUGGGGUAAAGGUUCACUAAGGCGACGAUCCCUAGCUGGUCUGAGAGGAUGAUCAGGCGCACUGGGACGGAGACACGGCCCAGACUCCGCCGGAGGCAGCAGUGGGGAAUAUUGCACAAUGGGCGCAAGCCUGAUGCAGCCAUGCCGCGUGUAUGAAGAAGGCCUUAGGGUUGUAAAGUACUUUCAGCGGGGAGGCGUUACCCGCAGAAGAAGCACCGGCUAACUCCGUGCCAGCAGCCGCGGUAAUAC